AGUGAACGCUGGCGGUAGGCCUAACACAUGCCAGUCGAACGGCAGCACAGUAAGAGCUUGCUCUUACGGGUGGCGAGUGGCGGACGGGUGAGGAAUACAUCGGAAUCUACUUUUUCGUGGGGGAUAACGUAGGGAAACUUACGCUAAUACCGCAUACGACCUACGGGUGAAAGCAGGGGAUCUUCGGACCUUGCGCGAUUGAAUGAGCCGAUGUCGGAUUAGCUAGUUGGCGGGGUAAAGGCCCACCAAGGCGACGAUCCGUAGCUAGUCUGAGAGGAUGAUCAGCCACACUGGAACUGAGACACGGUCCAGACUCCUACGGGAGGCAGCAGUGGGGAAUAUUGGACAAUGGGCGCAAGCCUGAUCCAGCCAUACCGCGUGGGUGAAGAAGGCCUUCGGGUUGUAAAGCCCUUUUGUUGGGAAAGAAAAGCAGCAGGUUAAUACCCCGCUGUUCUGACGGUACCCAAAGAAUAAGCACCGGCUAACUUCGUG
rnacentral:rRNA from 1 species